rnacentral:rRNA from 1 species
ACGAACGCUGGCGGCGUGCCUAAUACAUGCAAGUUGAGCGCUGAAGGUUGGUACUUGUACCAACUGGAUGAGCAGCAAACGGGUGAGUAACGCGUGGGGAAUCUGCCUUUGAGCGGGGGACAACAUUUGGAAACGAAUGCUAAUACCGCAUAAAAACUUUAAACACAAGUUUUAAGUUUGAAAGAUGCAAUUGCAUCACUCAAAGAUGAUCCCGCGUUGUAUUAGCUAGUUGGUGAGGUAAAGGCUCACCAAGGCGAUGAUACAUAGCCGACCUGAGAGGGUGAUCGGCCACAUUGGGACUGAGACACGGCCCAAACUCCUACGGGAGGCAGCAGUAGGGAAUCUUCGGCAAUGGACGAAAGUCUGAACGAGCAACGCCGCGUGAGUGAAGAAGGUUUUCGGAUCGUAAAACUCUGUUGGUAGAGAAGAACGUUGGUGAGAGUGGAAAGCUCAUCAAGUGACGGUAACUACCCAGAAAGGGACGGCUAACUACGUG